rnacentral:lncRNA from 1 species
UUCUUGGGUUCGUCUUUUUGAUAGUUCAUUUUGAUAUCGGGCUUUGGGUUUUCGUGAUCAAAUCGGGUCAAUGUUCGUGAUUUGAAUUCCGUAUUAAGAGUUUAUUCUCAUUGGUUUUAAAGCUGGUUUGGCUAUUAUUUUCUGAUAUCGAGGUGGCUUGUCAUUAAGGUUUUCUAGUCGGGGUUCCAAGUUUGGCUUCUUUAAUUCUUUAUUAUCAACGAAAGUCGAUUAUUGGAAGGUUCAUCUCUAUAACUUUUUCUCCUUAUUUUAUUCUAAUUUGGUAUAAUGAUGUUGUGAUUACGUAGGGGUUGUUUAUGUUUGUUGGAUUUUGUUGAUCUUAUGAUAUUAUGGUUUUGUGUUUGAUGACGUGAUUUUGGUGAUAUGUGAAACAAAUUAGAGUAAUUGUUGGUGUAAUUGAUAAAAACGAAAGCUAGCGGGGCUUGGAAUUGAAAUUGAUAAAAAGCAAGCGUUAAUUUAUUUUGAUUCAUUCAUAUCAUUGAUGUGAUAAUGUCAUGAUAGAUUGAGCUCGGGUAGGCAAACAUAGAUUGGGUGGGCAGACUUAGGAAUGGUGAUUUGUUUGAAUGCGUGGAAUGUUGAAUGGUUUGGUUUUCUGGAACGAAAAAAAUAUAUUCAUUUAGCCGGGGAAUGCCCCGAGUUCAUUUGUAUUUCUUCACCGAGGAAUUCCCCACGGUAUCUUCUACUCAAAGGAGGUUCGUGAUGAAGGCCCGAGGCAUCGGAUAAAGCAUUGUAGCAUAGUUUAGGAUUAGUUUAAGAUAGGAUUUACAUUUUCAUAUUUUUUUUUAUUUUUGGACUGUAUAAUUGGACUGAAUACUAUAUUUUGAAUUCAUUUUGUUUCGUGUGUUUGAUUGAUUGUUUUAUGUGUUUUUGUGUGAUUUAUAUAUUCGUAAUGUCAAAUUAGCCGAUAUGCUCCACCAAGAGACCGUGGUCGAACCACGGGAUCGAGGGGUGCCUAACACCUUCCCCUUGGUCAACAGAAUUCCUUAUCCGAAAUCUCUGUUCGCAAACCAGUCUUAAAGAGUCAAAACUGUUUUGAAAAGUAUUUUCCAAAGGUGACUUGGCACACCGAAUUAUGCCAAGUGGUGACUCUAAGUUUUGAAUGUAAACAUAAUCCUUUUCAAAAUAAAUUUUCAUUUUGUCACUUCAUAAGAAAAUCCUUUUGAAACUUAAAAAUCAAUUUUUUUUGGGAGUGAAAAAAAGGGGUGUGACAGCUCUGGCGACUCUGCUUGGGACUUUUCAGAAUUCGAGCGUAUUUUUGAAAUUGUAUCGUCUUAGUUUGACAUCAUGGGUGUAUAAAUAUUGUUUGUGUUGUCGUGUGUGUUAUUGUUUUUGAGUGCCUACGUGCUCUUUGUUUACAGUUUUUCUCUUAUGUGUUACCGCUUUAUAUCUGGCAUCAUGUGCAUAAUCCGAAUCAAUUCUUUCUGCAACAAGUUCUGUAGUACACGCUGUGUACACGACCUAUAGUUGAGUCACCCUUAUUUUAGGAGGGGGAGCCGUUGGCUGGUAUGGAGUAGGUGGAAAGCAAAACAACCACUAUCGACCAUACGCUCUCCCGGACAGCCUUGUUAGUGAACUCCAGCGUAGAUCAGCCUUUAGGUCAUGCUUAUGUGCAUCAUAUUGAGAUCUAACAGAGCCCACUUUGUCCUUUGUAGGAGACUCACCUCUAAAACAUCCCUACGUGCUAAAUGUUGCAUCUUUGAGGGUAACGUGGUUAUUUUACGGACUGAUUUGAGGAAGCAUGUGAUAGAAGUAAAGUGUGUACACAAAACAGUAUUAAAAAAAAGGAGAGAGAAAAAAAGUGAGUAAAAAAAAAAGGGUGUCGUAGUUUUUAAAGUUCUUUAUGACUUUUGUUUUCCAAAAUUCAAAAAGAUUUUUACCUUUUGCACUCAUUUCCUCAAAAAAAAAAAAAGUCAAAAAGACUUUCCUUUUGUUUCUCUAGUGAGCAUUCAUAAUUCGAAAACUCUAAAAAGAUUUAUUUUUCAAUAGAAGCUUUUUAUAAAAGGAAAAUUCAAAAAAAUGGUAUAAGUUUUGUAUAUUUCAUAACGAAAAUAUCAAAAAAAAAUUCCUUUCAUGGUUGUUGGUGUCAUUUUUGUAGGAAGUGUCAAAUUUAAAACCCAAAGAGAUUUUACUCUCAUCGUCUGUCUGUAAUCAUGUCGCUCAUGUUAAGUUUUAGUUCUUUAUUUAAUCCUUAAUCAUCCAAUCAGGAUGAACUACACACCUCUGAUUCUUCUCUUUCGGGAGUGAGAUACGUAAGCAGCCUAUUGUUGGUUCGGGGAUCUUAUUUAAAAAAUUUCAAAAAAAAAUUCUUUACUCUUUAUUUAGAGUAGGUGUUUCGCAUAUGCCUCGAAAAUAACACUACAAAAAGAUUUUCCUUAAUAGUCGUAGGUUUCAUUUUUGGUUGAUCUUAUUUAAAAAUUUAAAAAGAUUUUCUUCAGUCGUUAUUCGAGUAGGUGUUUCAUAUACAUUUUUAAAAGAAAACCAUAAAAAAUUUUCCUUUAAGAGCUUCAAGUUUAAUUUUCAUAUAAAAUUCAAAAUUAAAAAUUCAAAAAGAUUUUUCUUUGGUAAUCGUAGGUUUCAUUUUUGUAUAGGGAGUUUUAAACCUAAAAAUGCAAAAAAGAUUUUCGUCAAUUCUUUUGAUAAUUGGUUAUUUUCUUUUUCUUCUUAAAGUUUCAAGAAAAAGGAAAAAAAGGGGGAAAAGAGUUUGGUUGGCCAUUUUGGAAAAAAUUCAUGAACUACCCACACAUGAUUCUCCUCUCUCGGGGGUGAGAUACAUAGGCACCCUUCUUGGGUUCGGUGACUUUUCAAAAAGAAAAAAAAAGAGUGAGAUUUUGAGAAAGUGUUGAACUCUAACGCAUUUGCUAUCUCUUGUUCAGUUAGUUGAGGUGGUUGGUUUGUGGCAUUUUGGUUGGUCCUCCAUAUUGCACCAAGUCACAAAGAAGGUUAUGGCCAACAAAAAUACCGAUUUUGUUGUCACUAAUCAGAUAGGGAGUUCAGGAAAUGAGAAUUUAGGAGCUAAUGAAGAGAUUCAGAAAUUGAGGUAACAAAUGAUAGAAAUGCAUCGAGCUUGGGCUAAUGGGUUGCCGCCUCCCCCAGUUCCCACUGAUAAUCUAGAAUAUCUUUCUAACUUGCCUCCCGUAUCAUAUGUAGAAUUUCCUAUUUUUAUUGAUAUGGCACAAUAUGUAUCAGGAUCGACUCCGGGGCAAUAAUAUCCAACCACUUCCAAUGUUCAUUUCCUCACUCCCCAAUCCAAGACUACUACAUACUCGGCUCCACCUGCUGUUCAUACUUCUGCGGUGCCACCCCCACAUGAAACUCCUACUUUUGAUGUUCAUCCAUAAGUUGUGCCUCCCUACUCUACAAGAGAUCCUGCAUUGGAUAUUACUGGGGAUCAGCAUUACACUUUUGAGCCUACAUUCAAGUUGACUGGUUUUUUCGGUGACACUCACCCGCCUGAAUUUCCUCCUAACACUGAGAAGCCUGUUAUGACAGAAGAACAAGAGGAAAUGACAAGAAAAUUGAGAAGUUUGGAACUGACUAUGAAGAACUUGCAAGGACUUGGGGGUUACAAAAGUGUCUCAUAUAAGGACUUAUGUAUGUUUCCAGGUGUCAACCUUCCUCCUGGCUUUAAAAUGCCAAAAUUUGAGAAGUAUGACAGACAGGGGGAGCCAGUGGCACAUGUGAGGCGCUAUUGUAACCAAUUAAGGGGCGCUGGAGGGAAGGAAGAACUACUCAUGGUUUAUUUCGGGGAGAGUCUUUCAGGCCUAGCUUGGGAAUGGUUUGUUGACCAAGACAUUGACAAGUGGAUUAGUUGGGAUGACCUAGCUAAUGGAUUUGUGCAACAAUUUCAAUACAAUGUGGAAUUAAUCCCUGACGAAAAAUCCCUAACUAGUAUAAAAAAGAAGAAUACUGAGAGUUUCAGGGAGUAUGCGAUCAGAUGGAGCAAAUAAGCUGCUAAAGUAAAAUCACCAAUAAAAGAAAGCAAAAUAGUGGAGCUGUUUAUUCAAGCGCAGGAUGAAACAUUUUAUUAACACUUGUUACCUGCAUUAAGAAAGUCAUUUAUUGAGGUCCUUAAAAUGGGGGAGAUGAUAGAAAAGGGAAUUAAGACUGGUCGCAUUGUGAGUUUUGCAACAUUAAAAGUGACAACUCAAGCAAUUCAAAAGGGUUCAGGAAGCGUUGGGGAGAUAAAGAAUGAGGAAGAUGCAUCUUCUAUUAUAGUUGGAUAGCAGGCACGGUCAAGAAGACCCCGUUGUCAUCACUCUCAGGCUCAAACCCAAUUUCAUGCCCAAGCUCCACAUAAUCACUCCCAAAAUCCAUUAUAUUCUGCUCUUCCACCUCCGUAUCCAGUAUAUAACACACAACCACAUGUUUAAACCCCAUGUUACCCACAGUGGAACACACUAACUCCUCAGAGUCGUCCUCUAACUCUACAAACUACCAAAACCCUUUUAAGCCUGAUUUUCAAUCCAAGCCAAACGAUGAAAUGAGGCAGAAGUCAAGAGAUAGCUUCACACCAGUUGGAGAGUCGUAUGCUAGUUUAUUCACAGAUUAGUACAAUGGGGCAUGAUCACUACUCUCCUUGGGUGCACUCUUAAUCGGUGUUCCAGAAAUUUUGAUCCUAAUAUACGAUGUGCGUAUUAUUCUGAUGCUUAGGGUCAUAGUAUUGAAGAUUGUCGAGAUUUGAAAAGAGAAAUUGAGAAUAUGAUUCAAGAUGGAUCAAUUAUGGUGCAGAACAUUGACAGUGAGGGAAACUCUAGUCAAGCCGAUAUGCAAAUCAGUGGGUAAGAUGUCAGGCUGAGCAAUUGAGAAGUCACCCCUCUCCCUACUAGGAGGAGGUCUGGUAGUUUGUUUUGUUUUCUUUUCUGUUAUCCGAAUUAUUUCAGGGUGGUAGUUCGAGAUCUAUCUUGUUUUGUCCCUUUUGUCGUUUAUGGUCAAACCUUUUCUAUCUUUUAUUUCAACUAAAUAGAGUGUCCCUUUUUCUUUUGUGUUUAAAUAUGUGUUAUUUGUUUGUUUUCUUUACAUAGUACAUUUUAUGUUGGCUUUAGUGAUAUGACAUGCUAGCGGAAUUCUUCGCUAGAUCUUAAAAUCCAAUUUGAGCAUGAACUUUGAAUCAGAGGGCUAAAGUUAGAAAAAGCAUGUGAGAAAUAGGUAGCGUGUUAAGACAUUUGGUGACCAUGUUGAAACCUUCUUUCAAAAUUAAGGCAAUUGUUUUGAGAAUCACCAGAAUAACUUGGUCAUCAAUUGUAAGACAUGCCUCAAUUAGGUCAAACAGUGGAUGCGUGAUCCUAUAUCAAGAGGAAGAGAAAGAAAAUCAGCUCCACGAAAUCUUGAGUCAUUCAAUGUAAGAAAUGUACAACAAAGUGGAGUUGUAUGCUAGAAAAGCGCAGAAAAAGCAGUAACGCACAGACUCAGUCAAAGUUAAUGUUGUAAAAAAUAUCGCACAUGAUCUUCAUCUCCAACUUUCAAAUUGCAUGUUAUGUACUUGCAUUUUCAAAGAUUGAUAUGACGAAGGCAUUUCAUUCUGUUAUCCAAACAUUGUGUCAUCCUUUGUUUUUCCCACUUGAGCCUUAGUUUUAUUUUUUUUCAUACACCUCUUUUGGAAUCAAGACAGAGUCAGCAAAGCUCAAAAUAAAGGUGUCGAGCGAAAAAAAUAGAGUCAAAAGGUAUUAAAAAAAGAAAAAAAAAGAGAAAAAAUAUGUCCAAAAAGAAAAAAAGUGUCAAGUAAAAUAGAGUCAAAAAAAUCCUAAAAAGAGAGUCAAUAAAAGAAAAGAAAAGGAAAUCAGAAUCAAGCAAAAGAACGAGCCACCAGAACUACGCAUGACCUGAUUCUCCUAUCUCAGGGGUGAGCUACGUAGGCUGCCCUACUUCGGGCUCGGCCCAAUCAAAUAAACAAUUUAGAGUCACCCAGUCAAAAGAAACUGGGGUAUGAGUUAAUCCUCAUUAUUUGAGUUGAUUCCAAAAGUUGUAAGUCCUACCCCACUUCUAGUGUUGUUUGGGCCCCAUGCCAUCCUUUCUUUCUGACCCUAUCCAAAAGCCAAGUUACAACCAAAGAAAGACCUUCAGAUUAAUCUUUGAGAAUGUUAAGGCUAAGCAUGCAAGGGAUAUGAUGAUGCAUUUGGGAACUACUUGUCUUCCUCAACAUAAAAAAUUAGGAGAGAAAUAAAAAUGAGAGUUUUAUUGGUGAAAACCCUCACGGGCACCGUAAGACGAUGGUAAGUUGGGAGAGAUAAAAAUGAGAGUCUUAUCGGUGAAAACUCUCACGGGCACCAUAAGACGACUGUGAGUUAAGGGAAAUGAAGAUAAGAGAGUCUCAUUAGUGCGAAACCAUUACAGACACCAUAAAGAAAUGGUGAAUUGAGAAAAAAAAAGAGAGAAGCUUGUUAGCGAAAACCCUUCAAGGCACCACUAGCCGAAUGGGGUCUUAAAUACAAUUGACCUAAGGAAGCAACUUAGUUUCAAGGCCAUUAACUCAACAACAAUGGGUAGAAUGUUUGGAUGAAAAGAUCAAGCUACUUAAUCCAAAAUGCAUGGCAUAAUCAUUAGUGUUGACUGACAUUUUUAGAUGAAUUUUUUGUUUCUUUGUUUCAAAAGGGGACAUUCAUAGUCUUUUUUUCUUCUCUUUAUUUUUUAUUUUAUCUUUCUUGAGUCAGUUAUCCAAACAAAAAUUGUCAUUCUUUUUUUUGUUUCUUUUCUUUGAGUCAAGCCCGUGUCAAAACAAGUGAGAAAAGAUUUCAAAACUGGCUACCAGCUUCUUCAAUUGCAACAAGCGAGACAAAAGGCCAACACAUGAAAGAGAUAUGAUUGUGAACCAAAAUAAGGCAUACAGAAAGUUCUAUCAACAGACAAGUCUGGGACCUCAUGGAAAUACCAAAGUUCAAAGGGUUUAUCUGAGGAGCAUGGCAAAGCAAAGAUAUUGUAUUUGUUUCAAAGUUACUCUUAAUAAUCUGAGUUUGGGUCAAUGAUGUAUCAAGUCAAUGAUAUAUGUAAUGGUUGGAAGUAAGGUUAAAUGUGAUGACGGCACGAGCGUUUGCCACGAAAGCCAAAGCCACAAACCUUCCUCCAUGUUUUUAAACUCAUAACUUUUCUUUGCAUGAAACAGGAACACAUGUCACCUUCAAAUCAAGGAUUUCAAAGCCUAAACAUCAAAGCCCCUAAUUUCUCGCUUUUACAAAUGCAGGAAGCAAUGUUGCUGCAAAAGUUUGAUAGUUAAAUCAUCGUAAAAAUUCAUCAUCUUAUAUCCCUCGGAGACACACUUUCCUGUCCAGGGAUUUUAGUUUUCAUUUGCUCGGUGAUACACUUCUUAAAUUGAACCUUCACUCCUAAAAGUUUACCUUCUAGUAGAGUCAUUCCAUUUGACUCUUAGAAGAUGUACCUUUUAGUCGAGUGAUCCCCCUUGAUUCCUAUAAGACGUACCUUUUAGUCGAGUGAUCUCCCUUGAUUCCUAUAAGACGUACCUUUUAGUCGAUUCAUCCCCUUGAUUCCUAUAAGGCGUACCUUUUAGUCAAGUCAUCCCCCUUGAUUCCUAUAAGACAUACCUUUUAGUCGCGUCAUCUCCCUUUAUUCCUACAAGGUGUACCUUUUAGUCGAGUCAUUUUCCUUGACCCCUAGAAGACGUACCUUUUAGUCGAGUCAUUCCCCUUGAUUCCUAUAAGGCGUACCUUUUAGUCGAGUCAUUCCCUUUGAUUCCUAUAAGGCGUAUCUUUUAGUCAAGUCAUUCUCCUUAAUUCCUAUAGUGAUGUGACUUUCACAAAAGUCCUUUGAUGAUAAACUGGGGCAAAAUUUAAUUCUUGUUGUUUGGAACUUCACUUUUCUAGCAAAUGAUCUCUUUAUAUAAUCUUUGUUUGGGAUAAUUUUCUUUUCAGUUUUGAUGUGAUUUCAGGAGCCCGCCUGAAGAACAGGGCGAAUAAAUGAAAAGUCAAGCAACAUGGUGAAGAAGUUGAAAGUCAAGAAACAAGGUAAAAAUAUUGAAAGUCAAUAAAUUGAAUAAUAGCAAGUCAGGAACCCGCCUGAAGAAUAGGGUGAAGAAAUUAUAAGUUAGGAGCCCGCCUGAAGAAUAGGGUGAUGAAGUAGCAAGUCAAGAGUCCAAAAGAAGUUGCAUAUAUAAGAUGUUUGUAAUUUCGUUUAUGCUUUAACUUGUAAUUUUCAUUUUUGAUGUAAUGACAGAGACGCGGGCCGAAACCUCGACGGGACCUCACUUGACUCUCUAACUUGGUAUAGUCCAUAUUCUUCCAAUACUUUGAGAUACAUGUCAAUUGAUUCCUUCAUAACUUAGGUAGGUAGGAUGUUCUAAAUCAAGACUCGGUUGCUCUUUUUCCUUCUGUUUCUUUUCUUGAAUAAUAAUCGGGUCAAAAUUUUAUCUCGUUGUCUACUUCUUUGUCUGAAAGUACUUCGUGUUUACAUUCAAAGGGGGCAUGAUUUAGACACCUAAUUUUGUACCUCCUCAAUAUCACUUUUACUCAUUUUACCUUAUCCUAUCAUGUAACCUCAACCAUGUAAUUAUCCCAUAAAAAUACAAAAAUAACAAUCUCUAACAAAUUUUAUAUUGUUUCAAUCCUAACAAACCUUAUAUCAACCAACCCACACCUCUAUACCCAUGUGACCCCACCCCCUCCCGUUCUUUUGGGAUUCCUUUUAACCAAAUCGUAACAAAUAUAGAGGGGGGCUAAUAUAUUUCCUUUCAGAAUACAAGAAAAAGGGCGGGGGGGACCCACUGAAAAGAAUACACAGAACACCUCACCAUUCCUAUUUUUAUACACACACUCCCGAUAUUCCUCUAUAGAAGACCAUGAUACCUCAGAGCAAAACAGAUCAAGAAUUCUCUCAUAUACUCAUCUCACCCGCACAAACCAUGGGAUAGACUCCACACCAUCACUCUCUAAAAAAAAAGAUAGACUCCAUUGUUGGUUCUAAUACUUCUUCAAAAGAAUAUAGGGAUACACACAGAACUGACCCAUUGUCACCACUAAAAAAGACACCCCCACACUUCAUUUGUUUUUGCUUUCUCUCUGAUUCACUGGCGUGCACAACACAUACCGAAUCGGAAAGAGAAGAGAUUGAGAGAUAGAUAGAAAUUGAUUGAGUGAGGAUCGGAGCAAAAAUAGUUAGAGAGAGAGAGAGGGAUUUCACAAUCGGAGAGAUGAACGAUGUUCUGACUAUUUUUCUGGCAAAUCUCACCGCCGAAAUUGGUUUAUAGGAUGUUUUGUCGAUCGGUUCGAGCCUAAAAGUCCCUAAUAUCUUUUUUUUUGUUGGUUUUGGUUAUUUAUUGAGUCAACUGGUGUUCUUGGGUUCGUCUUUUUGAUAGUUCAUUUUGAUAUCGGGCUUCGGGUUUUCGUGAUCAAAUCGGGUCAAUGUUCGUGAUUCGAAUUCCGUAUUAAGAGUUUAUUCUCAUUGGUUUUGAAUCGAGGUGGCUUGUCAUUAAGGUUUUCUAGUCGAGGUUCCAAGUUUGGCUUCUUUAAUUCUUUAUUAUCAACGAAAGUCGAUUAUUGGAAGGUUAAUCUCUUUAACUUUUUCUCCUUAUUUUAUUCUAAUUUGAUAUAAUGAUGUUGUGAUUACGUAGGGGUUGAUUAUGUUUGUUGGAUUUUGUUGAUCUUAUGAUAUUAUGGUUAUGUGUUUGAUGACGUGAUUUCGGUGAUAUGUGAAACAAAUUAGAGUAAUUGUUGGUGUAAUUGAUAAAAACGAAAGCUAGUGGGGCUUGGAAUUGAAAUUGAUAAAAAACAAGCGUUAAUUUAUUUUGAUUCAUUCAUAUCAUUGAUGUGAUAAUGUCAUGAUAGAUUGAGCUCGGGUAGGCAAACAUAGAUUGGGUGGGCAGACUUAGGAAUGUUGAUUUGUUUAAAUGCGUGGAAUGUUGAAUGGUUUGGUUUUCUGGCACAGAAAAAAUAUAUUCAUUUAGUCGGGGAAUGCCCCGAGUUCAUUUGUAUUUCUUCACCGAGGAAUUCCCCGCGGUAUCUUCUACUCAAAGGAGGUUCGUGAUGAAGGCCCGAGGCAUCGGAUAAAGCGUUGGAGCAUAGUUUAGGAUUAGUUUAGGAUAGGAUUUACAUUUUCAUAUUUUUUUAAUUUUUGAACUGUAUAAUUAAACUGAAUACUAUAUUUUGAAUUCAUUUUGUUUCGUGUGUUUGAUUGAUUGUUUUAUGUGUUUUUGUGUGAUUUAUACAUUCUUAAUGUCAAAUUAGCCGAUAUGCUCCACCAAGCGACCGUGGUCGAACCAAGGGAUCGAGGGGUGCCUAACACCUUCACCUUGGUCAACAGAAUUCCUUAUCCGAAAUCUCUGUUCGCAAACCAGUCUUAAAGAGUCAAAACUAUUUUGAAAAGGAUUUUCCAAAGGUGGCUUGGCACACCAGAUUAUGCCAAGUGGCGACUCUGAGUUUUGAAUGUAAACAUAAUCCUUUUCGGAAUAAAUUUUUAUUUUGUCACUUCAUAAUAAAAAUCUUUUCGAAACUUAAAAAUCAAUUCUUUUUGGGAGUGAAAAAAAGGAAUGUGACAAUGCAUAUAACUCUCUUUUUAAGAGAGUUAAGAAUAUUUUGGUCACACUUUAAAAACAUGACAUAUUUUGGUAUUUUUUUUAGUUUCAUGGCAUAUUUUGGUUCCCAAUUACACUUUUUCAGUGAAUUAUAUUCUUUUUUUUGGACUGAUUGACAAUUCAACUUUGUACAUUUCUGCACGUACAUGUACUAUUCAAAAACAGGUUUUACUAAAAAAGAAGGCUA